ACUCUACUACAAGAGGAGCCACAAUGAGGCCAGGCAUGGCAACUAUAGAGUAACCCCCGCCCCCUGCAACUAGCGAAAAGCGCGCGCAGCAAUAAAAGACGCAGCAUAGUCAAAUAAAAAAAUAUUUUUAAAGAAACUGUGUUGUGUCCCAUCACCAAUACUACAUAGAAUAGAAAUGAAAAGCCACUAUUAUGUAAUCUUUAACUUGCAAAGAGAUUCUCUGGAUGAGAGGAUGUUAUCAGAGUUACAUUGUGCUGCUUUAAAGGUAGAGAAUACUUAUUGUUCCCCAAAGCAGUCAUAUACAUGGAUGUCCCUUGUGUGUGGUUUGGAGUCUGGACCUUAGCCUUGUGCCUCUCAUGAAGGGAUCAAAGCCUGCGCAGAGGCAGUCUCAAGUCUGAACACACUCAGUUCCCCCAUUCCUUAUUUUUCUUAUGUGGUCUGGAUUUCCAGGAGGGUGAUGACUAACAGUACUGCUAGAUUUAUGUAAAAGUACAGGACACUAGCUAUAUUCCAAGUUCAAACAAUUUUAGUAUAGGGGACAUACAUAUACUAAAAAAUUAUUCGUUUAUCGGAAACUCGAAUUAGACGUUCUGUGAAUCUUAAUUGGCAGCCCCUGCUUAUUUUUUCUUCGCACCGAUUUAACUUCACAGAAAAGUCUCAAAAUGGGAGGCAAAAGAAAUUCGCCUGGCCCCAAAGAAGAUGGAGCUCAGGGUAGUCGGCCUUUUCCCAAACUUGGCCUUUAAAAAAAAAAAAACCCACCCACAAGUCUCAGGAGCCUGCGCAUUAAAGCGGGCAGUGCAGCAGCUUUCCCGCCGGUUUUCUGCGGAAUGUGGCGCAGCGGCCACGCCGCGGGGUGGAGCGCAUGUUGCGGUGUCCUUGCCGGAUGCGAAAGGAGGUGCCAGAAACUUUAAACCUCAGCCAGAGUACAACGUGUCCACUUAGACGGCGGCAUGCGUGAUCCAGCAGUCAGUUAUUCUGUGCAGGAGGGAGCAAGGGCUUUAAAUCAGGUGGCCAGAGGGUUAUUUCUCUGCUGUUUAACAGCUGUAUGACCUCAGAAAGGUGCUGCUACUAGUGAAAUGACAAACCAAAAGCAGGGAGAGGGAAGUCAGCCAUGGGCCAGGCUGGCCCACUGCCGGAGCGCUGGUUGGAGUGGUCUCUUGUUCCUGCCUCGUCGUCUCUCCUCUGCCCGGCCUCUGUCUGGGGUUAUUCCCCACACCCCCAUGUUGCCGCUGCUUCUCUUUUCACCAGCGGUCUUCUCUCCAGCUCCCCUCUUCUCUGAUGGGAGCUGGCACUGGCCCAGGUUAGCAAGAGGAAAAUGGACAUUCCUCCUAGUUUCCUCCCUCCUGUCCACACCUGCAUAGUCCCUGGGGAAGAGUCUUGACUGAAAGUGAGCAAAGAAAGGAGGAGUAGACAGGAAAAAAAGACGCCUGAAAACAGUCAGGCUGGACAUACUUAAAGGGAAGGGAGACAAACAGGAGAUGCCACCUCAUCUCAUUGACUUAGCUGUUGCCAUUUUCUUUAGCAAAGUUCCAGUGUACUGUCCACCAGGCCUGAGUGCAACUGUUAUUCCUGUGUUCCCAGUGGUACAGCAGACCUUUCUCCAUUUCUCCAAAUGGUUAACUGCACACUUAGAGCUCUUGGCAGAGUUUGGGAUGCAGAGUUAAGUACUUGGGGUGUACCUAGCCCCAUCACCAUCUGUGAUCUGUACAAAAUUUGAUAUACGCUUUAGGCUAGUCAAAUACUCAUUGGUCCUCUACUGUGCAUUUGGCAGUGCACUAGGUGUAGGAAGUGGAGGUGGGCAGCAAGGGCUAGUGAACCUGGCUUUCUGGUGGAGAAAUGGGAUUUGGGGAUUAUAAUAAGCAGUCUAUUUCCUUGUCACAGCAUAUGAGCAAUUUACUGAAAGUGUUGUCCUAAAGACAUGAGCUUAUCUAGACAAAAACAAAAAAAUUAAAAUUCCUCCCCUAAAGGUUGUUCAGUGACUCUCUGUACUUCCAAGAGGACAAUAAGCUCUUUCUUUGGAAUCUGGGAGGUGCUUCCAGGGCAUGAGAAAGAAUGCUCUACUCUGCGGCCUUUGAU
ensembl:lncRNA